ensembl:lncRNA
GGUGGUGGGUCAGUGGUUGGACUGGAAUAUCUUAGUUGUUUUUUCCAACCUUAAUGAUCCUAUGAUUCUCUUUUGUUUACCUGGUUGGCUUGCAUGGAAAAGCCCAUUCAAGGACCAUAUCCUGGCCUCACUGUUCUGCUGAUUACAGCACUGCUGCUGCUCACAACACCUGGAAGCAACCUUGCCUCUCUCGAGAGCCCACCUCCACUCAUGAGCUUCUCUGUGCCCUUUGAGUGUUGUUGCAGGCUCUGAUGGCUCCAAAGCAGCUCACAGCCAACACAUGCUAGUGAUGCCAAUGUCCCUGCCCUGUCCAUCAGUGACCCCAGAGUGCACAGAAACCCACCCUAUAGGAAGCGGGAUCACAGCUGGUGACUGCGGUUUCCCAUGCGGCUGCCGUCCCCGCUGCCAUCGCCUUGUUGAUGGGGCUACAGGCACACCGCGGGUGCCGACGUGGGGAUGAGUUAUCCAGAGCUCUGAGCACAGCAGAGCCGGCGGGGUUCCCAGGGAAGGAAAUCCCAGAGCUUCACGAGCUCCAAAGAAUGGCAGGCAGCAAGGAGCAGGAAGCGCUUGUUAGGAAGGAGCGAGGAAAUGGAGCCUCUGCCCCAACCCAAGCAAACUUUUGAGGACCGGAAAGUGGGAGUAGGAAGGUGUAAAAGUGCUUUGAGCUUUGGCAGGGGAUUGCAGAGGGCAAAGGGUGAAGGGAGAGGGACAAACACCGCCGCAGAACUCAAGGAGGGGGCAGCCCGUGUGUGCGUGCCGUGGAGGGGACUUCACGGUGGAGCUGCUAAUUAAAUAAAGAAAGGCUCGUCGCCAUGCCUGUUAGGUUAACUCAGCGGGGAUAUUGCAAAAGCAAAUUCCUCCCAGCAAGUGUAAUUAGGGGGCCGGAAUUCCUCCAGUUCCUUGUCCUUGCUGUGGAUUCUGCUAAAGCCAUCAGGUGAGGGGGAACAAGAAAGUCCAAUGCAAUAACAACCCCCUCCCGGAGAGGCAAGGAUUUCACAUCAAGGCUUGACACUUUUCUCACUGAUUAUUCCAGGGUGGAAAGUACGCGUCAGACAAAACAGUCAGGGUCGCAGGGCUGCUUCCCCCAGGGCAGCACGCUCACAUUAGGGGUGGAAAGAAGACAGCGAGGGGUCUGGGCAGGGCACUGUCAGGAUUUGGGAGGUGCCCACAUGCAGGAUCCAGCCCCAUCUGCUUGGCUGAGAAUUUACAGCACUCAGACUGCUACAUCCCAGUGGAUCAUCGGAACUUUGGGAUCCCUGGGCUCAUCAUGGUACCCUGUGCUUACAUGAGGAGGGAAGAUGCUCAUAGGAGCCAGCACGUGAAGAUGUCUCACCUGAUUCUGGGCCACAACAGGACUGCAGCUGGGGUUUCCCUCCAGCUGUGUGGAAUUACACUUAGAGCUGGUCCACGAAGAGCCCACAAGCAGUUGUCCCUGCCUGAGCAUCGCUGGGGCAUGCAGCAUCCCUGCCUGCUGCCCUGACCCCCCCACUGCAAGGAGAGGUCCCAUCCUCUGACCCAGAUGCCUUGUGCCUGUGUAGAGGUUUAUCCAAGGGAAAAGAAAUGGAACUGUGGCUGUCCUGCAGCAGUGGCCACAUGAAGCCCUCCUGUCGGUGCACGAGGAGUGCCACCAGUGUGGGAAGAGAUCGCUUCAGUGUUGUUCCCUUUCCUGUGGAGGCAAAUAGCAGCCCUUCCAACCUUUUGGUUCCACAUUCUGCAUAGGAGCAAAACUAAUCAGAGUCCCAGCGGAGUUCAGCUUUAAUUACCCAUGAGAUGCUAAUCUGCUGCAGGGUCUACAUGCUCCUCCAUCCAAGCUUUGCAAUUCCCCUGGCACAUGUCUCCCGAUUCCCCACAGCCUCCCCAGGCAAUUUGCUCUGAACAAGAUCACAAGUGAAAUUCCUAGCCCAGAAAAGCUUCUGUGCAGAGCAGCAUAGAAAAAGCCCAGCUCUGCUGCAGAAGGACGUUGGAGGUCUUCUCCAUCAGCCAGAGACUCCACCUGGGAUUCCCGAUGCCCCGUGUAAGAUGUCUCAAGCACAGCUGAAGGAAAGAAUCCGAGGAAUUCUCAUGCCUUAGUUCCCUGAAUUCUUCCCUGGCAAUGCCUUCCUCUCUGUGCAGUGCGGACUGAGAUGCUUUGGGAACCUUGCUGGCUCCAGCUCUGUGCACUUGAUAAGCAGCCAAGCCUGGAGGAAAUAAGGGAUACCCUUGGAAAACAACAGCUGGAGUUCAGGUGGAUCCUCAAGCAAGCCAGAAAUUAUCAGCCUGUGCCUGGCCAGGCUGGACUGACUACCGCUCUGGUGACAGAGUGGACAAUGGCUGUGGCUGAGUUGGCAGCAGUGGAGGACACAGUAGGUGCAGGAGGAAAGCAAGCACAGUCUGAGCCACACAGCAGAGACUGAGCUCCUUGAUCUCUCUCCUGAUGAGGAUUGUUUCUUCAGCAGCACCUGAGAAAGGUCAACCACCAGGGGGAGGAUCUGCUAGCCAGAAACCCACGUGCAAUGGGGCUUUUGCUAAACAAUUUAGAUUAAUUUUAAC